UACGUAGGGCGCAAGCGUUGUUCGGAAUUACUGGGCGUAAAGCGUGCGCAGGCGGUGAUGUAAGACCGAUGUGAAAUCCCCGGGCUUAACCUGGGAACUGCAUUGGUGACUGCAUUGCUGGAGUAUGGCAGAGGGGGGUGGAAUUCCACGUGUAGCAGUGAAAUGCGUAGAGAUGUGGAGGAACACCGAUGGCGAAGGCAGCCCCCUGGGCCAGUACUGACGCUCAUGCACGAAAGCGUGGGGAGCAAACAGG
rnacentral:rRNA from 1 species